CUCUCUUUAUCCCUCUCUGGAUCCCCCACCAAACCCUAGCCUUCCUCCUCCCCUCGCGCCGCCACUUUCUCCUUCCUCCACACCUUCUUCUUUCGUCUCUGUGAACAAACGAGAAACAACACCGCCUCCACCUCGCCAUGGCGCCGCCGCUAUGGUCCAUCCCCCGACGAUCUGAGACCACCACCAGAAGCGCCUCAACGUCCUCUACAUCCCUCUGCGAGGAAUCGACCCACGACGCCUUGAAGCACCCGCACCGCCGCCGUUUCUUCACCAUGGCCGCCAUACUCCGGCGUCAAUUCCAGCCACCCUCGUCCUCCUCUGGCCAAACCGAGCACACCACCUCCUUCCCCGCGUCGAGCCGCACCCCCGACGCCAUCUCUCGCAUCCUGGUUCGUCCCGUCUCCGUCGUCCCCGAGCUCAUCUGCAAGUGUCCGCCAUGGCCCCUACCUCCGCUCGUUUCUGCUUCAACUUGUCACGAAGCCCAUGUUCAUGAACAACAGCAGCUGUAGCCCAGUGAUCCGACGCUUACUGGGCCUCGACCCGUUUCUCUUCGAGUGCAGCCGCCGCCCGCGCGGCCCGUAGCUUCCCGUCGCCGCGUGCACGCCAGAAGUGGGCCGGCCCACACGCGCCAGCUUUCGUCCCACCGGCCAGAAUUUGCUUCUUCCCGGAUAGGAUCGCGAAGUGGUGUUGUGAGAUACGACAAGUCUCCGGAUGUUCCUCGGCAAGCUUUAACAGGCAAGCAUUUCCCCUAUACUCCUGCCCCUGCAGAAGUCGCUCACCUAUUUUAUUUUGCCUUCUCCCUCAUGCUAUCCUUAAGUUUCGUUCUUGUCAUGUGUCCUUUCCACUUGUUACCUCAAGCAGCCCAUAUUGCCACCACCACCUCCUACGGCUAUUGUUUGGUUAUCAAGUCUGCCCUUGCGAGUCGUAGUGCAUGCUAGUGCUGUUUUAUCUCGUUACCGUUAUGGUUAUCUUAUCGGGUUAUAUAUUGGGAAUAAUCAUGGUUACUUUAGUUGUUGACAUUUGUUUAGCGGAGGCAUCGGUGGGUCAGCUGCUCGUUUUGUGACGGCUCACUUGUGUUUCCUAAAUAUCUUAGGACCCCGAGUUCUUGUUAUCUGUUCCGAGACUGAGCGCUCUAAUCACACGUGGGUAUGCUUACCGGG